rnacentral:tmRNA from 1 species
GGGGAUGUAAUGGUUUCGACGGGGAUUUUGAAGCUUGUUAAGCGGGUAGAGUCGCAGAAGCUCUUCAAAACUGCAAACUUAAAAUUAAACGCUAACGAAAAAGUAGCACUCGCUGCCUAAGGGCGGCCGUCCCUCCCGUGAGUACCGCUGCGCGGGACCGGACGUCAUUUUGCGGUGAACGUGUACGUGAGUUUUCGCUUGUAGCGUAUAUGUACUAAAACGAUACGGGAGCGCGAGCCUGUCCGCCGGCGCGCCCCUCCCGGAAACAAUAUAGACGGAAUGCACCCGGAGAAAGACAAGUGAACGAAUUUUCGGACAGGGGUUCGACUCCCCUCAUCUCCACCA